CAUGCGUACACGGUCUCUAGGGCUAAACUUACUGCUCCCAGGCCCGGGGAGGACGAACUGCAUGCAUGAUGGUUCGUAGGCCUAAGAAAUUUCAAACCACCGGGAUGUCUGUAUUCAAGCAAUUGUUAAGAAGAGUUGCCAUUUUGCCUAAUCCAAAAUUUAUGGCCCAGUUCAAACAAAGACAGGAAUGGAAAAGUCAACAUCACAGAGUUCCCUUGAUGAACACUGAAGCCUUCAGAGUACAGUCAGUGUGAUGUUUUGCCCAGAGACUGUUGUUAUCCCAAAAGAGAGGGAAUGUGUGGUGCUAUUAGAAAUGAAUAUGUCAAGCUAUAGUCAAGCACCAGGAGAUAAAUAGGGGAUGGAAAUGCAUUUCUCUCAGCAAGUGAAAAAGUUGAUGGCAAAAAGGUUUGUCACCUUUGAGUGUGAUUCACUGUCAUCCUCUCUCCACAAUCUAUGAAAAUUCAACAUGAAAGAUAUUAUUAUUUUAGGUGAUGACAUAAUUCAUACUCACAAUGAUUCACCUGUAUUGUAUUUGAAGCCUGCUUAUUUUUCUGCAUCCUAGAAUGAAAAUAAUUUGGUUGGUGGGAUUUUUUGUGAUCUCUAAUACUAUUCAUUUAAGCUGGUCUUUAGUUCUAAAAUUUCUCUAUGCUUACAUUUUUCUGAAGUUCCAAAUAACCAAAAGUUCUCAGGGAAUAGGAAGAUGCCAUUACAAGUAGAAAGAUUAGCAUAUCACAAAGACCAAAUAACAAUACAAAGAAACUGAGAUUACUGAUUUUCCUCUCAAAUAUUCACCUAAUGUUAUUUGAAGGCUUUUGUUUAGCAAUGCUGCAUACACAUCAGACACUCAAUUAAACCUUGUUCAAUAAAUGAAUGAACUCCGAAUAAAACUUGAAUUUAAUUUUUUUAGUUUAGUUUAUUUAAUGUGAUAUUAACAUAUUUUACUAUAUCAUUUUGCUAUGUCCAGAUGAUUUUAUUACUUUGUCAAGGAGAAUUUUUUCAUAAUUAAUUUGAUUUUAU